AAAGUGGCUCAGUGGCUAAGUGCUCUGCCUGGUAUCCAAACGUCCUGGGUUCGAAUCCUGCCAUUCC
rnacentral:tRNA from 1 species